GUUAGCCUAAGAGCUGGCAUAUAUUUUUUGGAGUGCUGUGAGGUGUAUUGCAAGUCUUGCCAUUAUUUGUUUACAUUUUUCAAAAAGCUAAAAGUCGAAAUAGCCAAAAUAACUCAGACUAUUUCAAAAGCUCAUUAUUUGCAUAGUGUACUCAUUUGAGCAAGAGGAAAGUCUGACUGCUAAGAGCUGCUAGGAAAGGAUAAAAGUGAACUGUAUGUGUAAAGAAGGGAAUGAGAAAGUUGCACACAGGUAAUAGGCUCUUUAUCAGCCAGUGCUGCCAUCCCUAGUUGCUGGGAAUAUAGGCUGAUAUAUAACAAUAUCCCCUUUCCUAGACAAUUUUCUGAUCAACCAGGAGCUGCCUUUCCUCAGGGGCUAUGCAACCACCUCUUGGAGUUCAGAAUUUAGAUGAUGACUAACUGAUAUCAAGGUUUAAAGGCUGCUUGUGUCAAAGUGAGAUUGAUUCAGUGGUGCAAUGUGUACUCUAGAGUUUUCACCAUGAGACCAGACGUAAAGAAGCCUCUGAGACCAGAUUCUUGUGCAUGUUUUUCGUCUUGCCUAUCCUGCAUUCCUCAACUCUCCUGAAGGCUUUCCCUCAUUCUGUCACUUGAACAAGAAUCCCCUCCCAGGCUCUGCUUCCAAGGCUACAAGGAUUCAAUCUGCUUUCCUUUAUUUUGGAAGUUGUUUACACCCACUCUACUUUCUGGGUUUAUUUCCUAGCAAGACUGCCUGCAGAGUGAGGAUACAAAGAGAAGUUGAUAGUCUGCCGCCUAGAAAAAAGCCCUCACCAGCACCUGACCGUGCUGAUACUGUGAUCUGGAACUUUCAGCCUCCGGAACUGUGAGAAAUAAAUGUUCGUUGUAUAAGCCACCUGGUCAAUGUUGAUUUGUUAUAGCAGCCCAAGCUGAUUGAGACUGAUCAAGAUAAAGGGUUAACUAUUACAUGAUAUA
rnacentral:lncRNA from 1 species